rnacentral:lncRNA from 1 species
AUGUGUGUGUGUGUAGUGAGUUAGAGGGGAAGAACCCUAAUAACUUUCAAGCACAAAAUCUAGGAAUCAAGAGUGAAAUCAAGUGCAUUUUGAUUGCAUGUUUGAAGGUUCUAGCCCUCUAACAUCAUCUAAACCUAUAAAUUACAAGUUUGACUCUUGACAAGUCAGUAAAAAGCUUGUAAUUGAAUGAGUCAAGCGGGACAAAGGCGCAAGAAAGCAUGAAUGGGCGUAAGGAUACUCGGAUGCAGAUUGGGCACAAUGUCUUGAAACAAGACGUUCCACCUACGGUUAUUCUAUCUACUUAGGAUGUAACUUGGUUUCUAUUGAAGCUCUAGGAGUUGGGAGUCAAAUAUAUGACAUGUCUAGUUAGUUCCUCAAUUAUUAUGCACAGUGAAAGUGUAUAUCAUGUUCUGCUUGAGUCAUCUUGUGUAUUAACCAACAUUUGUAUGUGCAUCAUGUGUUGACAACUACGUUUAGUGAGUGUUUUUACAGAUCCAUGGAAUUACCAUGAGAUUAGUGUUCUUUGUUGUGUGUCAAGAAAAUAGGGUCUGUUGGUUGUAG